GAAGCUCCUCCCCUCCAGGCUGGAACGAGGAGCUGCUCUGCUGCUGGCCUCUUGGAGAUCCAGGAGGAGAAGUCCACGGGGCAAGUGUGACUGCAUCAUCAUGAGUUUACUCUUAUCUGAACAAGAGGGAACAUACUUCAGUAAAAUCAGAAGGAUCUUGUGGGACGAUCCAUUACUUCUAAUUUAUGAGGCUGAUAUCUAUGGAUGACACAUGUUAUGUGGCUAAUUUUUGCUUGUUACAAAUCUAUACAGAGGUUCAUCUCCAAGGUGGAUUAUAGAAGAUAUCGCUUUUUCUGCUAUGUGGAGGUUCCGGCAAAUAUCCCCUUCCUCCAUAUUGUGCAGCUACUAUGACUUAUUGUUGCUUGUG